rnacentral:rRNA from 1 species
GAUGAACGCUGGUGGCGUGCCUAAUACUUGCAAGUCGAGCGAACAGACGAGGAGCUUGCUCCUCUGACGUUAGCGGCGGACGGGUGAGUAACACGUGGAUAACCUACCUAUAAGACUGGGAUAACUUCGGGAAACCGGAGCUAAUACCGGAUAAUAUAUUGAACCGCAUGGUUCAAUAGUGAAAGACGGUUUUGCUGUCACUUAUAGAUGGAUCCGCGCCGCAUUAGCUAGUUGGUAAGGUAACGGCUUACCAAGGCAACGAUGCGUAGCCGACCUGAGAGGGUGAUCGGCCACACUGGAACUGAGACACGGUCCAGACUCCUACGGGAGGCAGCAGUAGGGAAUCUUCCGCAAUGGGCGAAAGCUUGACGGAGCAACGCCGCGUGAGUGAUGAAGGUCUUCGGAUCGUAAAACUCUGUUAUUAGGGAAGAACAAAUGUGUAAGUAACUAUGCACGUCUUGACGGUACCUAAUCAGAAAGCCACGGCUAACUACGUG